UGCAAUGGUUUUGGAUUCUACAAGUUUGCGAUUAAUCUGGAGGUGCGUUGGUUGCAGUUAAUGUUAUUUCCGUCGAUUAUAGUUUGUAGCUUGUAUCUUAAUAAAUUAGGGAUUAAUUGUAAAUAAAUGUAUUUUGGUUUUAAUUGCUUUUAUUAAUUUGUGAAGACUGUUUAUUUUGGUCAGCUUCGGGUUCGUAGUCUGGGAUUACUAUUUUGAUUACAGUGGUGGGUUGUCCGAGCAUAAAUUCAAGAAUUUCCUCUCUGGUCCUUAGUCCUUUUCUGUAUUUUUUGAGAUUAAUCUGGAGGUAAGUAUUGUGUUUGUUAUUAUAAUUGCUUUAAUAUUUGUUUAAGUUUUCAGGUACGUUUUGUAGCAGCUGAUAUUAAAGCCGUCGCAGCUGGUAUGCCAAGGUUUGCGAUUAAUCUAGAGGUACCAGUUUGCGAUUAGUCUGGAGUUUUCAGGUACGUUUGUAGCAGCUAAUAUUAAGGCCAUCGCUGCUGGGAUGCCGUGGCUUUGGAUUCCACAAGUUUGCGAUUAAUCUGGAGGUGCGUUGGGUGCAGCUAAUGUUAUAUCAGUCGAUUAUAGUUUGUAGCUUGUAUCUUAAUAAAUUAUUAAUUAAUUGUAAAUAAAUGUAUUUUGGUUUUAAUUGCUUUUAUUAA